GCUGUGAUGACUACCGUAACCAAUUGAUCUUCACUGAUCUGAUUUUAUUCUCUAAGAAGUCCUGAGCAC